AGUUCCUCAAAUAUAAAGUUCUCAAUGGUAAAAUCUGAGACAUCUUGAUCUUCAAACAACCUUGCAUUAUGGGUUUCCUUGAUUCUGGUGUGAGCCUAUGCACAAUAGAACUUAAACCCCUUUGAUUUUUCCAAGUAACCUAUGAAAUAACAAGACUUCGUCCUUGGAUCCAGUUUCUUUUCCUCCGGAUUAUAGAACCUAGCAUCUGCCUUACAAUCCACACAUUGAUUUUUCCAAGUAACCUAUGAAGUAACUGUUUCCACAAAUUGUUUUAGUUAGGAAAUGACCACAAACAUCAGUAUGAAUAAUCUCAAGUAAAUUUUUGCUUCUCUUGGCUUCAAAAUUUCGAAACUUAGUUAGCUUUCCUUUGUAACAAUCCACACAUUCAAUGGUAGUUUCAAAAUCAAGUGAAGGAAUCAAGUUUGCUUUUGAUAGUUUAGUGAUUCUUUCUUUUGAUAUAUGACAUAAUCUCUUGUGCCAAAGAAUGUAAGAAGUGUCAAUGUUUAACAUUCUCUUAAUGCUUAUAUUUAGUGCAUGAUGUUCAUUAAAGACCACACUACACUCCAACUGCCAUAAGUUUUCAACUAAGCUAGCAAUCCCUAAAUUGGAAUUAAGAUAGUUCUUUUGAAAAAGUUGUAAACAUUCAUCAUCACCUAGGAAGGAAAAACCAUUUUUCAUGAGUUUAGAGGCUGAGAUCAAAUUUCUUCUCAUCUUUGGCACAUAAAGCACAUCAUUCAAUUGCAAAAUAAAACCACAAUUUAGUUUUAACCUAAUUGUUCCAACAGCUUUAACUGUAACAUUUGUCCCUUCCCCCACAAAAAACAUUAAAACAGUUAAAACUAGCAUCCUUUUGUUUUUCAAAACCAUGCAGUGAGUUAGUUAUGUGAACUAUGGAGCCAGUAUCAAACCACUAUGAGUUAAAAGGAAUCUCAAUUAAGUUUGACUCUACACAUACAUUAACUAUUUAUUUCCCAUUAGCUUUCAGAUAGUCUUUAAACAGUUCACAAUCUUUUCUUAAAUAACCUCGAGUUUAGCAAAAAAAAAAAAAACACUUAAGCUUAGCUACAUUUUUAACUUUAGGUUUAAGAUUGUUAGACCCUUUGGAAGAUUCAAAUAUUUUAGCAGAAAUACCAGUCUUAUCAGAAUUCCUAAAAUUCUUGAAGUUCUUACCUGAAUUAUUUCCAGCAUUGUAUGAUUUCUUCCUUCUUCCUCCUUGCACAAAGUUCACAAUCUCCGCCUCUUUGCCUUUUUCUUGCCUUUGGCAAGUCUCUUCUUGAACACAUUGUGCAAUUAACUCAUCUACAUCCCAACUCUUGUCCUGUGUUUUAUAAGGCACCUUUAAUUGAGAGUACUUGAAUGGGAGAGUUUGAAGAAUCAUGAAAACAACUGCUUUUCUCCAAUGCUAACAUCCAUUGAAUUCAACUUCUUUGCAGCGUCAAUCAUUUUCAUAAUAUGGUCCCUGAUUGAACCAGAAUUAUCAAUUUUGUAAGUUGUUAGCAGUGACAUAUAUUGGUUGAUCUCUGCUUUCUGUGACUCUUUGAAUUUCUUCUCAAUAGCCUUCAAGUAAUUAGUUGCUAAAUCAUGUUUCUUAAUGCCUCCACAAACUGUAUCAGUCAUACCACUCUCCAUGAUAGAAAGUGCCACUUUGUCGGCUCUUGUCCACCUUUCAUGAUCAAUCUUCUUAGCUCUAGUACUCUGAUCUGUGAUCAUUGGUCUUGGAGUAUCAAUGGCAAUAUCAUACUCAUUGAUUGUCAAUAACAAUCCAAUUUCUCUCCUCCAUUUUUUGUAGUUACUCCCUCUAGUGAGAAUUGGGAUAUUUGCCAAGUUCAAAGUCUUCAAGGAUAUUGCAGACACUGCAGAUGAAAUCACAAUCAUGAACCAAUUAGGUUCCUACUUUCCUUUUGCAGUUCGCACAUCAAAACUUGCAUCAAUGAUUCAUACAUAUAGACUUAUCAACACAUAGUUGACAAUCAUACAUAGAAUGACUGAUUCAUCGAGAACUUAGAAGAUCACAAUAAGAUAUGCAACAAUAGACCGUUUUCAAAUGUCUCAUGCAUACUGCAUAUGAAAAUUUUGCAAGAUAUCGAGAUAAUAGUAAUCUUAAUUGUGAGUAGUUAGUCCUUUACAAAGAAACUUCAAUCAAUAAUACCACAUAAUAUUAAAUUUCCUUGAAAUAAUUAGGAUCUUGUUUUUUUUUUUUUUUUUUUUUUUUUUUUUUUUUUUUUUUUGUUAACUUACGAACCACUCAAUUUCAAGGCUGAAUUCAUAGCAUGUAGUCUAGGUUCUAAUACCACAUGUUAACAUAAACAUAUAAUAUGAAUCACAGAACUUCAAACACAAAACCACGUUCAUAAACCUUUGAACAUAAAACGAACACAUUACAUGCAGAUGAAUUCGAAGAGCCUGCCAUGACUUGUUUCUGCAGCAAACCAGAGGUGCACCUUCUUCUCUCUUCAGUAAUUAGUUUGCUCUUUACUAAUAAUAGGUCUUGUUUCAAAAGAAUAGAGCACGGUAACUAUGAGAGCAGAGGCCACUAUAUAUAUAUAUAUAUAUAUAUAUAUAUAUAUAUAUAUCAUAAUCCUAGCCAAGUCCUACAAGGAUUCCCCUAAGAAUCCAUAUAGACAACAAAUUCAAUACACAUAGUGUUUCAGCAUGACAUGGAUUACAAAUCCACUCCCAAUAAGGACUUCCUAUUUAAUCUUGAAUCAAAUAACUUAAUCCACAUAUUCAUACUCAUGCUCAUAUUCUAACAUUUCUAGGUCUAUAUAUAUAUAUAUAUAUAUAUAUUGUGCGGUUCUCAGUUAAAUAAUUGGGCACAAGAACGUCACUUUAUUUAGGUUUGCAGCAGUUGGUUCUUGCUUGUUACAUGACCUUACUUUGUAUCAAUCUGAUCAUCCCACUCCCCAAGUCCGAGAGUUUGCUUGGUGCCUAAGAUUGGAUUUGAUUUGGUAACACAGUAAAUUCAAGCAUGUUGAAGGACGGAAGAAACAAAGAAGUUCUGUCCGAGUUAAAAGGUAGAAGAUGAAGUGCAGAGUGAAGAAAACAUAUCAUUUUCAACCCCCUACAAAAUGGUAGGAUACCAACAUCUCUUAUAAUUUAUCCCUUCUAAUCCUGUCCCCAGAUGAAGAAUCAUUCACAACGACCUUCAUUUCUUACUUCACCAUAUUUUAAAAUAGCAAAUUAUCAAAUCUAAAUUCUACGCACCAAAUGAGAAGGUUUGACAAAUUCCCUUCAGGAGGAGGCACAUACACAAGUUUUUUUUGUCAAACCUCGUAAAUUCUUAGUGCACUCUCGUUUGUUUUGCUCAUUGUCGAGGAUCAUCAAAUUUUUUUGUCCCGUCGAAUUAUUCAUCGCUCAUUGUCGAGGAUCAUCAACUUUUUUUGUCCCGUCGAAUUAUUCAUCGCGCUGAGAGGAUCAAAUAAUCUCUAUGUAGACACUAACUUGGUUCAAAAAACAAAAUGUUUGAGUGCAUCCAGCAAUCUUCCCCAUUGUUGGGGUUUGUUUGGUUUGGAGGUCAAUAGUUAACACAAUCACUUCUGUAUGUAGGAUUCUCCAACAAGCAAAUCAAACAUAAUUGGGAAGUGACCAUAACCACAAAGCAAAGUUGGGAGGAUACUCCCCAAAUUUAACCUGUAUUUUCUAGUUAAAUCACAUCAAAUACGAAACAAUUUACAUUGUCCGGCUUCAAUUAAGUUCUUACAUCCGAAAGACCGCUGGCACCUGGGUGACAAGGUUUGAUACAUUUCCAAGUUCAAAAUAACAAAACGAUUAACUCCUCUAGCUGGCGUUUCAUGCAAAACUUAUAACUCAGGCUGUUGCGGAAUUGUAGCAUCAGUCCCAGCCAUACUUCCAGAUGUUCAAAGGGCAUGAAAAUGGUAAUUCGUACACCAAAAUCAUGAGAGGUAAAUAAGACUAUAAUACCAGAGUGAUGACAUCAUUCCAUUCUGUAGUUUCGGAAUGAAUCCCAUGCGAUUCAUAAGCGGAUUGUGGGCAAGAUUCUUCUGCAGGUGUAGGAUCAGGAUGAUUAUACAAGCACCUGUUUUCAUACUGGCAAGUGCCAGUUCGCAUAUAGUGCAAACAAUCUUUCUUCCCCUGUAAUACGUUAAAAUAAUUAUUCAGCGAACGUAUGGACACUUGAUGGUAGCUCCAACAGACUAAGAAAAUAGCAAAGACAAAAUCUCAAAUCUUAAGCACCAUGAAUAGAUAGAUAUUCAUUCCUCAUAUUUUUGCAGAUCAAACCAAGAGUUUAUACCGGACGAAUUGGCAGGCCCAAAAAGUUAAGUUUCAGAGCUGGAGCUACAGAGGGUUCCCUUUUACAUCGUCCUGGGCAAUACUGCAACAAGCUCAAGUGUUAUAUUAACAUCAGGAAACUGUUACUAUGCCGCCAUGCACAUUGCACAGAUUUGAAAAUUAAUUGUAAUCCUGUGUAAAAAGGAAUAUGUGAUUGUAAUGUAACACCAUACAAAUGUCAUGAAAACACUUCGACUAUAAGUUGAUCACGUUCAAGACCCUCAUCGUUCUAUUGUUAGCUACAAGAUAAAAGGUUUAAGAUAACCAUGUCGCCUAUGAGUUGAUCAUGUUCAGUUGUGCAUGCUAACCUACUAGCUUUCAGAUAACCAUAUGAGAAGCCCCAUCGUCACUCAAAACAGAAAGAGUUAAGAUAUUAUGUGAAACCAAAUAUGCAAAGUAAAAGAAAACAUCAGGAUGUAAAGCAUGAAAACCAAGCAAUUGAAGUAAAAACCAGAACUUCGGAUAGACAAUAAUCUUGCUUCCGGUCUGGUCUUGCUUCUGUGUCAACUUUUCACUCUACUUUGCAAUGUCCUUAAACACCUUCUAAACAAUAUGAUAAAGUUGAAAACACCAAGAAACACAAAGUGAGCACCAACAACACAAAUAUUUCAUCCAGUCAUACAAGGCCAGAUGGAUUACUGUUUCAAACAUUAAAUGCAGGUCCAAAGUAGCGAUUUUUCAGUUAAUCCGAGGUACCAAAUUUCACCACAAAGAUGCAUGUGAAAGAAAAACAUCAUCUCUAACAAAUAUGACAAGUGCUUCAUUUCGAGUCAAUUCCACUGACAAAGAUCAUCAUCACGGCAUAAUAAACUAGCCGAUUAACACAUUCUUUACACUAUAACACAUGCAUACAGGCAUUUUUCAGCUAAAGCAUGAAACAAAGAGAGCUAAACAUGAAAAGUCUAAAUCUUUCAACCAUAAACAUAGAUAUGCAAAUGCUAAAUACAAAAAGUUAAUAUACUACUUGAAACCAAAUAUGCAAAGUAAAACAAACUUAAUGAUGUAAACAUGAAAACCAAGCAAUUGCAGUAAAAAGUUCAAAACAAGAACUUCGGAUAGAUAAUAACCUUGUUUCUGGUCUGGUCUUGCUUCUCUGCCAACUCUCCCCUCUGCUUUGCCUUGUCCUUAAACACCUUCUAAACAAUAUGAUAAAGUUGAAAACAACAAGAAACACAAAGUGAGCAUCAACAACACAAAUAUUUCCUGCAAUCAUACAAGGCCAGAUGCAUUAAUUUCGCAAAUGCUAAAUGCAGGCCCAAAGUCCCCAUUUUUUUUUGUUAAUCCAAAGUCCCGAAUUUUCAAGUACAAAUUUCACCACAAAGAUGCACAUGAAAUUUUGAAUGAAAACAUCAUCUCUAACAAAUAUGACAUGUGCCUCCAUUUCGAGUCAAUUCUGCUGACAAAGAUCAUGAUUGCAGCUUAAUAUACUAACCGGUUAUAACAUUCUUUACACCAUAACACAUGCAUACAUGUAUUUCUCAGUUGAAACAAUGAGAGCUGAAGUCGGGAAAACAAGAAAAGUCUCAAUCUUUCAACAAUAAACAUACAUAAUGCUAAAUACAAAAAGUUAAGAUACUAUUUGAAAUCAUCUAUGCAAAGUAAAAAAACUUAAUGAUUUAAAACAUGAUGGAAAAGCAGUUAAAGCAUUGCAUUGAAAACCAGAACUAUGGAUAGAUAAUAACCUUGCUUUCGGUCUGGUCUUGCUUCACUGCCAACUCUUCCCUCUGCUUUGCCUUGUCCUUAGACACCUUCUAAUAAAUUUGAUAAAGUUCAAAACACCAAGAAACACAAAGUGAGCAUCAACAACACAAAUAUUUCCUGCAAUCAUACAAGGCCGGAUGCAUUAAUGUCUCAAACACUAAAUGCAAGCUCAAAGUCUCAAUUUUUUUUGUUAAUAAAAAAUCCCAAUUUUUUCACGUACAAACUUCACCACGAAGAUGCAUGUGAAAGAGAAAUAUCAUCUCCAAAAAAUAUGAUAUGCACCUCCUUUUGAGUCAAUUCUGCUGGAAAAAUCAUCAUCGUGGCAUAAUAAACGAACCGAUUAACACAUGCAUACAUGCAUUUCUUAGCUGAACCAAUCAGAGCUGAGGCUGGGUAAACACGAAUAGUCUCAAUCUUUCAACCAUAAACAUACAUAUGCAAAUGCUAAAUACAAAAUGUUAAGAUAGUACAUGACACCAAAUAUGCAAAGUAAAACAAUCUUAAUGAUGUAAAGCAGGAAAACCAAGUAGUUGCAGCAAAAAGUUAAAAACCAGAACUUCGGAUUGAUAUUAACCUUGCUUUCGGUCUGGACUUGGUUCUCUACCAACUCUUCGCGCUGCUUUGCCUUGUCCUUAGACACCUUCUUCUAAUAAAUAUGAUAAAGUUGAAAACACCAAGAAACACAAAGUGAGCACACCAAAAAAAAAAAAAAAAAACAAAUAUUUCCUGCGAUCAUACAAGGUCAUAUGCAUUAAUGUCUCAAACGCUAAAUGCAUGCCCAAAGUCCCCAUUUUUUUUGUUAAUUCAAAGUCCCAAUUUUUCACGUACAAAUUUCAGAACAAUUAUGAACAAAUAUGUACGUGAAAGAAAACAUCACCUCUAACAAAUAUGAUAUGUGCCUACAUUUCAAGUCAAUUCUGCUAACAAAGAUCAUCAUCGCGGCACAAUAAACUCGCUGAUUAUAACACAUGCAUACAUGCAUUUCUCAGCUGAAACAAUGAAAGCUGAGGCCGGGAAAACACGGAAAAUCUCAAUCUUUCAACCAUAAACAUACAUAUGCAAAUGCUAAAUGCAAAAAGUUAAGAUACUACUUGAAACCAAAUAUGCAAAGUAAAAACAAACAUAAUGAUGUAAAACAUGAAAACCAAGCAAUUUGUUGUAAAAUCAUAAUCUCGGAUAGAUAAUAACCUUGUUUUCGGUCUGGUCUUGCUUUUCUGCCAACUCUUCCCUCCGCUUUGCCUUGUCCUCAGACACCUCACCAACAAAUAUUUCCUGCUAUCAUACAAGGCCAGAUGCAUUAAUGUCUCAAACACUAAAUGCAGGCCCAAAGUCCCAAUUCUUUUUGUUAAUCCAAAGUCCUGAUGUUUCACGGACAAAUUUCAACACAAAGAUUCAUGUGAAAGAAAAACUUCAACUCUAACAAUUCUGAUAAAUGCCUCCAUUUCGAGUCAAUGGCAGCAUAAUAAACUAACCAAUUAACAUAUACUUUACACUACAACAUAUGCAUGCAUGCAUGCAUUUCUCAGCUGAAACAAUGAGAUCUGAGGCCUAGAAAACAUGAAAUGUCUGUCUUUCAACCAUGAACACACAUGCAAAUGCUAUAUACAAAAAGUUAAGAUACUACUUGAAACCAAAUAUGCAAAGCAAAACAAACUUAAUGAUGUAAAACAUGAAAACCAAGCACUUGCUGUAAAAACCAGAACUUCGGAAUUUGGAUAGAUAAUAACCCUGCUUUUGGUCUGGUCUUGCUUCUCUGCCAACUCUUCCUCCUGCAUUGCCUUGUCCUUGGACACCAUCAUCUAAUAAAUAUGACAUAGUUCAAAACACAAAGAAACACAAAGUGAGCACCAACAACACAAAUACUUAAUGCAAUCAUACAAGGCCAUUAACGUCUCAAACACGGGGUGUAUUCAAUUGAGAAUGUGAGAGAUUUUAAUGGAUUUAUAAAUCCAUGGAUUUUUAUGGAGUUUAAUUGAUUUGUAGAGAUUCCAUAUAAAAUUUUGAUUGAAUUCCCUCGAAAUCUCAUGGAAAGAGGUGAGAUUUGUGGAUACUUAAAAUACACUACGAAAUCUCUCAAAUUCCCUCAAAUUCCUCAACUUGCUCAAAUUCUUUAAAAUCAAUUUCUAAUUGAAUACACCUGGAAUGUUAUAAACUUCUUUAAAAUCUUAAUUGAAUACACCUGGAUUUCUAAGGAUUUUAAUAAACUAUUUUAAAAUUCUAAUUGAAUACACCUGGAUUUCUAAGGAUUUUAAUAAACUAUUUUAAAAUUCUAAUUGAAUACACCUAGAAUUUCAGAGAAUCACUUAAAAUCCUGAUUGAAUACCCCUAAAUUCAUUAAAAGAAUUAAAAUCCCUUAAAAUCUCAAUUGAAUACAACCCAAUUUUUCACGUACAAAUUUCACUACAAAGAUGGAUGUGAAAGAAAAUCUUCAUCUUUAACAAAUAUGAUAUGUGUCUUUAUUUCGAGUCAAUCCCGCUGACAAACAUCAUCGUCACGGCAUAAUAAACUAACCGAUUAACACAUUCUUUAUACUAUAACACAUGCAUAUAUGCAUUUCUCAGCUGAAACAAUGAGAGGUGAGGCCGGAAAACACGAAAAGCCUCAAUCUUUCAACCGUAAACAUACAUAUGCAAUUGCUAAAUGCGAAAGACGAGUGACAUACCUGCUUGUUUUCCCUUCUCCGAGGGUGAUUCCUUGUGCUACUCUCCUCAACAACCUCCUUCACCACCUCACCACCGUUCUCAUUCCCUCCUCCUCCGCUGCCGCUUUCGCUCUCUCUCUCCUUCUCAGUUUCCUCUUGAGUCUCUCUCUCCUUCCCUUUUUCUUUUUCCUUCUUUUCCUUCAAACUCAAUUCCUGAAUCUUCCGAAUCUCAUCGAGGAAAGCAGGGUCGAGAUUCCUAAUCCAUUCGAUCACGGCGGGGUCGAGUGUCCGAAUCAAUUCAAGGAUUUCAGGAUCGAGAUCGGACGGCGCAUGAGACGGAAUAGACGGUGGAUGACCACUUUGAUCAUCGAUGGGAUUUAGGCGAAAGGCGACGCCUUGAGGGAGUUCCGAUUGCCGUCCGGAUCGAAAGUACCUAUAAAUUUCGACCAACACUGUAAAUGACACCGGUAGCAGAACACGCGCCGUUGGCAACAUUGGUAGUUUUUGCGCUGGCGGGGACGGCGGAGGCGGCGGCUGAAACUGGGUUGCUGGGUUUGCUGUGAACUUGCAACUAGCAGCUACAUUAUCAUUACGGAUUAAAUAGAGUUUUAGUUGGUUGAUUAAUUGUAGAAACUGGGUUUUGACUGGUUAAAUCAAAGGCGUCGGCUUUUUCUAGCAGAGGCAUGUUUGGAUUGCUUUUCAAUUCCAAAGAUACUUUGGAAAAGCGGACACUCGUGUACUUAGAUGCACUAGCUACAGUGCCUUUACGUGAACACCUAUUACUUCGAUACGAAGGAAUCAUAAACCAUAAAAGCUUUGAGCUACUUUACAACUCUCAAGAUGUUUCAAAAUCUCUGCUGAAUCAUAAACCGAUAAGCUUUAAGCUAAUUGAAUCAUAAAUCAAUAAGCUUUGAGUUAUUUUAUAACUCUCAAAAUGUUUCAAAAUCUCAACUGAAUAUACCGCAUACUCUGUCAUUUUGAUUAUCCUAAGUUUUAAUUUUGGGGCAAAGGUUGACUUAUAUGACCUCAGUUGACGCAUGCGUUGAGUUAUAUGACCUGAGUUCACUGUCAACUUCACAGGUCCCCUCCGGUACCUACAAACAUGUUAUUUUGUAAUAUGGGUUCGUCUUUUUCAUUGGUGUUUUAUGUGCGAGUUUAAUCAAUGUUAGUGUUUUAUGUGUGAGUUUAAUCAAUGUUACAUGCAACAGACAACGCAAACGCCGCAACAAGUUCGAUACACAACAAAAGAUGCCAGCAGAAAUUUAUGGGGUGAGAUCAACAAGCCAUUUGAAGAUGCUCGGGGAAUAGGCAACGACGACGAAAUUGAAAGAAUAUUACCCGACUAAACUUGUAUUUUCCGGUAAAGUGACAUGGAUAAGAAAUCAUUUACACGUUUCAUUCACAAUUAAAAAGUUUGUGUCAUCCGUGUGAAAAGGUUUGAUACAUUUCUAAGAUUAAAUUUACCGAAAGAGAGAUUACACAUGUCCUCGGUGAUGCGAAUCCUGUGCUCUAUGCAAGCAUUCAUGCAUAACUUAUUGCACGGGCUGCGGUUGACUUGUACCAUCAGUUCCACUUCUGCUCCCAGCUAUUCCCGCCCCAUUAGUAGUCGCCCAGUACCACAUAUAUGACAAGCAAAGUGCGACUCCAUUUGCAAAAUUGCUCCACAGAACCAUUUACUUUCCAAAGAAUCUUUGGUAUAGGCAUCGAAUAGCCAGAAAAUUACAUAGAAUCACAAAAAAAAUCAAAGCCACUCCAGAGAGGAAUGAAAGAUAUGGUGUCUCUACAAUAAAAGGAACAAGUUCGGAUAGUGUUCCCAGAUGGGUGAAGAACAAAGCCGAGUCUUCUCUUUAUAUUAUGGAAGACGAACUAAUCGGGAUUGAAGACAAGAAGCAAACGUUAAUGGCAUGCGAUCUGUAAUGUGUGCAAAUGUUCUGAUCCUGGAUUUUGAACAAAUUUUGUGCGAUCAUGUAAUAUGGAAUCAAACUGAGGCUCUCAUCAUAGACAGGAGAGGAGACAACAAUUAGUCAAUAAUCUUUAUGAUUCAGGAACAAAGCGAAAAAACCCUUCCUAAGGUCAUAUUCCGAAAUCAGGAACUCAUUACCAAAGUCAAAAGAAGAGCUUACUGGUCUCAACGGCAGGCCUUUGUCACCGAGUGUGAAUGGGGGGCUACGGCAGUCUGAGUUUUUGGAUGGUGAUAUUUGCAAUUAGAUUUAAACUUGCAAUCUCCCGUUCUUGAGAAAUAACUGCAAUCAGGUUGGCCAGGUCUUUCUGGGAACUCUUCAACUUGAUUCUGGUGUGGAUAUUGUUUGUAGACGUUGGUCUCAGUCACUGAGUUGUUCAUCAUAUAUGGUGGACGUGCAGGCAUGCUUCCUUCUGGUAUAUAUGCUGGAGCCUAAAGGUGCAAACAGAAAAACAAUUGGCAUUAAUAUUAGGGAUAUCGAUAUGUUUCAACCCCCAAUAAAUGGUAGGAUACCAACAUCUCUUAUAACUUAUCCCUUCUAAUCCCGUCCCCACAUGAAGAAUCAUUCACAACGACCUUCAUUUCUUACUUCACCGUAUCUUAAAAUAGCAAAUUAUCAAAUCUAAUUCUACGCACCAAAUGAGAAGGUUUGACAAAUUCACUUCAGGAGGAGGCACAUACACCAAGUUUUUUUUGUCAAACCUCGUAAAUUCUUGAUGCACUCUUGUUUGUUUUGCUCAUUGUCGUCGAGGAUCAUCAAUUUUUUUUUUGUCCCGUCGAAUUAUUCAUCGCGAGGAGAGGAUCAAAUAAUAUCUAUGUAGACACUAACUUGGUUCAAAAAACAAAAUGUUUGAGUUCAUCCAGCAAUUCUUCCCCAUUGUUGGGGUUUGUUUGGUUUGGAGGUCAAUAGUUAACACAAUCACUUCUGUAGGUAGGAUUAUCCAACAAGCAAAUCCAAGAUAAUUGGGAAGUGACCAUAACCACAAAGCAAAGUUGAGAGGACACUCCCCAAAUUUAACCUGUAUUUUCUAGUAAAAUCGCUUCAAAUACGAAAUGAUUUACAUUUUCCGGCUUCAAUUAAGUUCUUACAUCCGAAAGACCGCUGGCAGCUGGGUGACAAGGUUUGAUACAUUUCCAAGUUCAAAAUAACAAAUCGAUUAACUCCUCUAGCUGGCGUUUCAUGCAAUACUUAUAACUCAGGCUGUUGCGGAAUUGUAGCAUCACUCCCAGCCAUACUUCCAGAUGUUCAAAGGGCAUGAGAAGGAAAAGAAAGAAGUCAAAACACGAAAAGAUCCGACUAUUAUCCCUAAAAAAAUGGUAACUCGUACAUCAAAAUCAUGAAAGGUAAAUAAACACAAGACUAUAAUACCUGAGUGAUGACACCCUUCCAUUCUGCAGUUUCAGCAUACUUCCAGAUGUUCAAAGGGCAUGAGAAGGAAAAGAAAGAAAUCAAAACACGAAAAGAUCCGACUAUUAUCCCUAAAAAAAUGGUAAUUCGUACAUCAAAAUCAUGAGAGGUAAAUAGACACAAGAGUAUAAUACCGGAGUGAUGACAUCAUUCCAUUCUGCAGUUUCGGAAUGAAUCCCAUGAGAUUCAUAAGUGGAUUGUGGGCGAGAUUCUUCUAAAGGUGUAGGAUCAGGGUGAUUAAACAAGCAGUUGUUUUCAUACUUGCAAGUGCCAGUUUGCAUAUAGUGCAAACAAUCUGCCUUCCCCUGUAAUACGUUAAAAUAAUAAUUCAGCGAAUACAUGGACACUUGAUAGUAGCUCCAACAGACUAAGAAAAUAGCAAAGACAAAAUCUCAAAUCUUAAGCACCAUGAAUAGAUAGAUAUUCAUUCCUCAUAUUUUUGCAGAUCAAACUG
rnacentral:lncRNA from 1 species